AUCUAAAAUAUAACUUAGACACAUUAUUCUGGGAUAGAUACAUCAUUUUCUUAGCAUGUACAAGAUUCUGAAACCAGAUUUUUAGCAAAGCAAACAUAUGUAGGUAGUUACAAACUCAAAUGAAGAAGCAAAUGCUAAUUCAGUCUUUGCUAGGAGUUUCUCCCUCUUCUCUCCCCCCUUACUCUCCUUCCCUUUUAUGGCCUAUCACUCUCUCUUUUUCCUCUUCUUAGUUCCUCCCCCAUCUCUUUUCUUUCAAGAUGAGAUUCACUUUAUCAAUAGGCUAGCAUGGAACUCUUGCUGCUCCUACCUCAGUCUCUUUCUGACUGCUUCAGUACAGUUGUAUGCCACCUCUAAUCUGGUAAGAGCAUGGUUUUUAAGAAUACAUUGUAUCAGGCUGGAGAGGUGGCUCUGAGGUUCAGAGCACUGUCUGCUAUUCCAGAGGUCCUGAGUUCAAGUCCCAGCAACCACAUAGUGGCUCACAACCAUCUGGUGCCCUCUUCUGGCUUGCAGGCAAACAUGCAGGAAGAAUGCUGCAUACAUAAUAAAUAAAUCUUUUUAAAAAUACAUUCUAUCUUAGGAAUCACAAAGGAAAAAACUAAACAGAUUACAUUAAAAACAAAAUAAAUUGGAAAUAUAAUAGUGAAAAGAAUUAAUACAUUUAUAUACUCAAUAUUUUAUGUAGCUCAAUAUUCUGU
rnacentral:lncRNA from 1 species